rfam:Triticum aestivum genome assembly, contig: Triticum_aestivum_CS42_TGACv1_scaffold_621877_7DS
CAACUACUCCCUCCGUCCGGAAAUACUUGUCAUCAAAAUGGAUAAAAGGGGAUGUAUCUAGACGUAUUUUAUCCAUUUUGAUGACAAGUAUUUUCGGACGGAGGGAGUAUCAA